UCACUCACAAUUAUCUCUUCCUCCACUGUAACCCAAUUUUCAGACUCCAUGUCCUGCAAAAUUACAAGUGAUAACCAUCGGCAUCAACUUAAAAACAUCAAAAAACUUGAAGGCUUUUCUCGCAAGAAUGUUAAAUCAAUGGCAUUGCUCAAUUAGAUUAUGAAACUACAGAAUUCAACCAAGAUCUAGCUUUAAAUGAGUGAUCAUUGUACUGAAUCUAAAUAGCAUGUUCCCUUUUCACAUUCUCUACUAAAAAAACACUACAAACUCUGAUCAAAUUGAAUAAAAAACUUGAUAUGAGAAUCAUCUCAGAAUUGAACAAAGAUCCAACUAAAAAUUCUACAAUUAAAACUCUCCAAGCCAAAAAAAAAAAAAAAGCAUAAGACAACCCUGACAUCAAAAAUUAAACCUUAAUGAACAUAACCAGACAGAAAUGCCAUAAACUCAAAAAGAAGAGAAACAAAAAUUAAGAGUAAUUUUUAUUACCUUUCUUACAAGAGUUUGGACUUAAGAGAACUGAAACGCAAAGCUUCAAAGACUAAACGAAGAAAGCACUGAAUUUGAAAACAAGUAAACAAUAAAAGAAAGGAACUUGAAGGAUUAACAAAGAAGUGACAAAAUCUGGAACUAAAAGCUAGAAAUCCAAACUGGGUUUUGGUUUAAGAGGCUUAAUUCAUACAAAGUGGCUUACGUAGUGUUGAGAGAGAGAGAGAGACUGUGUGUUUUGUUUGUGUAUAUUUUUUGAGUUUAAAGGACGAGUUUUUCAAUGAACUGGAUAGAAAGGUUGCUGAAAUGACUGUAUUGCCAUGGAUUUGGAUGGCUUCUUGCUCCCAAUUCAAAGAUUUUAACUUGCCCUUUUCCGAAAAUUACAAAUAUAAUGGAGGGAAUAAAAUCUGUUGUUAAUGUCCAUAAAAAUGAAGUCUUUGUUGUGUUUCACAACUGGUA
rnacentral:lncRNA from 1 species